GCCUGGGUGGCUCAGUUGGUGAAGCGUCUGCCUUCGGCUCAGGUAAUGAUCCCAGGAUCCUGGGAUUGAGUCCCACCUCGGGCU
rnacentral:tRNA from 1 species